AGGAAGACUAGAAGCUUGAGACUAAUUGUGAAGGCCAACUGGUUAAGCUGGGUGAUUCUGAUUGGUAAGGAGGGGUCACUGAUGGCACACGAGUAAGGUAAGGUUGGUGUGCUAGGUGCAUGAGGCCUAGAGAUUCAUACUGUACCCAGUAGGAUUAAGGGCAGGUUGCCAAGUCACUCAAAUGAAGACUGGAGGCAAAUACUAGGUGGGUAAGUCAGUUCAGGGAAGGCGAGGAGGUGAACACUGGCUGAAUAAAACUAGGUGGUAAGGCCAGGGAAGGUAAGUAAAUCUAAGUUGACGAAAGUGUGAGGUUGAGACCAGGUCAAAAAGCCAAGUUACUGAAAACUCUGAGUGGCUUAGAUCAGUAAGUAAAGGCCUUCCUUAAUAGAGCUAGGUGGCUAACUCCACCUGGGUAAUGCCAAGAUGUUAAUACUAGGUCAAGGGGUUAAGGCCAUAUGAGUUGGAAUAAAGGUUGAGGACAGGCAGGAAGGCCAGGUUGGUAAACUAUGUUUGUCAUCCAGGUUGAAAAGGUCAUGAGAUUAAGGCCAGCUCAGUAAUGCAAUAUAUCUAAUUAUGUGGCUGGGGCUGGGGCUAGGGCUGGGCUUGGGACAGGCUGGGACUUGGCCUGAGGCCAAGGCUUUGGUUAGGCUAGGGCUUGGCUGGGGCUUCGCUGGGACUUGGGCUAGGGAUUGGUCUGGGGUAUGAAGUUUGGUGUAGAG